AACGUGGAUCCGUGAUCCGGGUUGCGGACAGUGUCUGGUGGGUAGUUUGACUGGGGCGGUCUCCUCCUAAAGAGUAACGGAGGAGCACGAAGGUUGGCUAAUCCUGGUCGGACAUCAGGAGGUUAGUGCAAUGGCAUAAGCCAGCUUGACUGCGAGCGUGACGGCGCGAGCAGGUGCGAAAGCAGGUCAUAGUGAUCCGGUGGUUCUGAAUGGAAGGGCCAUCGCUCAACGGAUAAAAGGUACUCCGGGGAUAACAGGCUGAUACCGCCCAAGAGUUCAUAUCGACGGCGGUGUUUGGCACCUCGAUGUCGGCUCAUCACAUCCUGGGGCUGAAGUAGGUCCCAAGGGUAUGGCUGUUCGCCAUUUAAAGUGGUACGCGAGCUGGGUUUAGAACGUCGUGAGACAGUUCGGUCCCUAUCUGCCGUGGGCGCUGGAGAACUGAGGGGGGCUGCUCCUAGUACGAGAGGACCGGAGUGGACGCAUCACUGGUGUUCGGGUUGUCAUGCCAAUGGCACUGCCCGGUAGCUAAAUGCGGAAGAGAUAAGUGCUGAAAGCAUCUAAGCACGAAACUUGCCCCGA
rnacentral:rRNA from 1 species